rnacentral:rRNA from 1 species
UACCUCAAGUCAAGUAAGAAUACCCGCUGAACUUAAGCAUAUCAAUAAGCGGAGGAAAAGAAACUAACUAGGAUUCCCUUAGUAACGGCGAGUGAACUGGGAAAAGCUCAAAUUUUAAAUCACCUCGGUGAAUUGUAAUUUGAAGAAAGUGGUUUGACUUUUCAGUUUAAUCUAAAUCCUUUGGGAUGAGGUAUCAUAGAGGGUGAGAAUCCCGUUCUUAAUUAAACCUCGGAUUGCACUAAAUUCACUUUCCAAGAGUCGAGUUGUUUGGGAUUGCAGCUCCAAAUGGGUGGUAAAUUUCACCUAAGGCUAAAUAUAUGCAAGAGACCGAUAGCGAACAAGUACCGUGAGGGAAAGAGUGAAAAGUACUUUGAAAAGAGAGUUAAACAGUACGUGAAAUUGUUGAAAGGGAAACGAUUGAAGUCAGUCAUGCUAGUGAGGAAUCAACUUGGUGGUUUACUUCCUUGUGCAUUUUCUCGCUUGGCAGGUUAGCAUCAAUUUUGGUUGUCAUCAAAGAAUUGGGGGAAUGUGACUUUUCUUCGGUAAAGUGUUAUAGACCCUGAUUGAUGUGGCGACUGGGAUUGAGGUUUGCAGCGGAUGCCUCUUGUGGCUAGUCACCUGUCUUCUGACCGUCACCUCACUUUUGACAGCUUGCUGAUGAUUGCGGGAUUUGGCGACCUAGAAGUUAGAGUGAACAUAAAUUCGCUAAGGAUGCUGACGUAAUGGCUUUAAACGACCCGUCUUGAAACACGGACCAAGGAGUCUAACAUAUGUGCGAGUGUUU